AGAGUUUGAUCCUGGCUCAGAUUGAACGCUGGCGGCAGGCCUAACACAUGCAAGUCGAGCGGUAGAGAGAAGCUUGCUUCUCUUGAGAGCGGCGGACGGGUGAGUAAUGCCUAGGAAUCUGCCUGGCAGUGGGGGAUAACGUUCGGAAACGGACGCUAAUACCGCAUACGUCCUACGGGAGAAAGCAGGGGACCUUCGGGCCUUGCGCUAUCAGAUGAGCCUAGGUCGGAUUAGCUAGUUGGUGAGGUAAUGGCUCACCAAGGCAACGAUCCGUAACUGGUCUGAGAGGAUGAUCAGUCACACUGGAACUGAGACACGGUCCAGACUCCUACGGGAGGCAGCAGUGGGGAAUAUUGGACAAUGGGCGAAAGCCUGAUCCAGCCAUGCCGCGUGUGUGAAGAAGGUCUUCGGAUUGUAAAGCACUUUAAGUUGGGAGGAAGGGCAGUUACCUAAUACGUGAUUGUUUUGACGUUACCGACAGAAUAAGCACCGGCUAACUCUGUGCCAGCAGCCGCGGUAAUACAGAGGGU
rnacentral:rRNA from 1 species